rnacentral:rRNA from 1 species
UUCUGACCGUAAACGAUGCCAACUAGUGAUCCGUCGGUGGCUCCAAGGCCCUGAUGGGGAACUUCCCGGAAACGAAAGUCUUCCGGUUCCGGGGGAAGUAUGGUUGCAAAGCUGAAACUUAAAGGAAUUGACGGAAGGGCACCACCAGGAGUGGAGCCUGCGGCUUAAUUUGACUCAACACGGGAAAACUCACCCGGCCCGGACACCGUGAGGAUUGACAGAUUGAUAGCUUUUUCAUGAUUCGGUGGUUGGUGGUGCAUGGCCGUUCUUAGUUCGUGGAUCGAUUUGUCUGGUUUAUUCCGAUAACGAGCGAGACUCCAGCCUACUAACUAGUGCUGGCAUUGCUUCUGUGCUAUGCACUUCUUAGAGGGAUUGGCUGCGUCUAGCGGCACGAAACGGAGCAAUAACAGGUCUGUGAUGCCCUUAGAUGUCCGGGGCUGCACGCGCGCUACACUGGCAAAGGCAGCGUGCUUGUCCGUCUCCGAAAGGAGCCGGUAAACCCUUGAAAAUUUGCCGUGAUUGGGAUCGGAAAUUGCAAUUAUUUUCCGUGAACGAGGAAUUCCUAGUAAGUGCGAGUCAUCAGCUCGCGUUGAUUACGUCCCUGCCCUUUGUACACACCGCCCGUCGCUGCCUAGAACUGAGCCAUUUCGAGAAUAUUCGGGAUCGCUGGUUGUGGGUCCUUCGGGGCUCGCCUCCGGCCGGAGAACGAACGUAAUCGCAGUGGCUUGAACCGGGCAAAAGU